CACGCAUUCUUACACGACAUGUAAGGAUUUUGCUUAAAGCCCCUUUCCCUUCAACAUCAGUAUUGCAUAACAGUGCAUUCAUGGAGAAAAUAACAAAACCCACCCGCUAGAAUUCGAACUUCUAGUUCAGCUGUUUGUAGCAGCUAUAGGCAACAGCUACUGACACUGCAGCACAGGCAACAGCAAGAGCUGCAUAUGUAUCCUCACGCUCCCAGCUCUCAAACCAUGUUGGCAUAGCGGCAACCUUACGCGUAGAUAACCCUUUUCCACUGUUAAUCCGGGAUAGUAGUCUCUUGCUGCUCUUCUUCUUCUCAAGUGACCCCUUCAAACCCUUCUCAUUGGCAUCUUGAGCCUCCUUAUGAGGUAAGGAAAGAUUUUGGCAACAAGUAGAAUUUCCAUUUUGCUGACAACAUUUCACAACUUCUACUUCAGAACUUGUUGCUGCAGAGCAUGCUUCAUCUAUCUGGGUUUGUGUCAACUUAUUAGAGCUCUUUCCCACACCUGUAUCACCUUUUAGUUGGAGCCUUAGCUCUUGGGAUUUGAUCUGCUCUUCUUCAGAUAAACCCAUCUGGCCCCUCCAUAGCCAAUCUACAAUUUCUCCUUUUCCAAUAUGCUGCUCUAGUAAUAUGGGUACGUCAUCUGGGGUAACAUAUCCGUACCAGUGUCCAGUGAUAACUCCAUUCAUGCUUGAUCCAAUAAUAAUGACAUUUCCUGCAUACUUAUGCCCGCCAAUGUGAGAGCAUGGGCUAGCAGACACUUUACCUCUAAGUCCAUGUAAUUCUAUCUCCUCUUUGAAUUUACUGACCAAAGCAGGACCACAAACACCACACCGACGAUCUCGGGAUCCAUGAGAACAUACAAAAACAUAAAAGCCCUUAAGUGUUUCUGGAGUUCCAGGCAGCCAUUCACCAUCCUUCACAAGCACUUCCUCAACAAAUGUGUCAACAUCAAAAUGUGUCAAUCUCCUGUAUCUGAUCAUGUCUGGGAAGAUUAAUACAUCUCCAUUUGAUGUCUCAGUUCCAUCAUGUCCCUCACAUAUUGUUAAGCGAGUCUCUUUCUUCAUAUCACCCUUUCUAGCCAUGACAGCAGCAGAGAGCAACCUAGGCAAUCGAUCAAAC
rnacentral:misc_RNA from 1 species